UUUUUAUUAUAUCUCGGCCAUGUGAUAGAUUUAGGGGGAGGAAAAAAGAGAGAAGAGGGGAGGAGGAGAAGAAGAAGAAGGGAAAAAAAACCCCUAAACUUCCGGGUCUCAUGACCAGGAACAGAGAAAAACAAAAGAGGAUGAGACCCAACUCCAAGGGAAGGAUGUGCGUGUGUGUGUGCGUGUGCGUGCGUGUGUGUGUGUGCGUGCGCACCGCUCCAGGUGCCCCCCGCAAUGAACUAGGUCCGUGGAGGCGUUUUUCGGCCCUGCUGCCCCGUAACUCCUGGCAGAGAUGCCACGGUCUCCCCGUUGUGCCAGCCGCCGGUCACUAAGGGCCACUGAGCCCUGAGCUGGCGUCCUCUUCUCUUCCCUCCUGUCGCCCCUGCCCAGGGCUCGGUCUGGAGUGCCCCAAUUCCCGCUGAGCUGAGCCCAGCUGAGCCGAGCUGCUCAGCGGUCUUGAUUUCUGGGUCAAGUUCAGAGAAGUUUAUUGCCCAGAGAGGAAAAAUAACCCCCGGCAUCGAAGGGGCCCCGUGCUCCAAAAGUCACUAUUAUUAUUACUAUUACUACUAUCACUACGAUGACUUUUCCAACACGAUUUUUUAUGACAACUUCCUAGAAACAGCAAACGGAGUGCACUAUCUUAUUGGCUCCGCUCCUUUUCGGGAGCUCCACCUCUUCACCCCACCCCAGCCCCCUCCAGCGCGCGGGCACACCCUGGUGCGGAGCGAGGUGCGGAGCCGUGGGCUUUGGCAUCGUUGUCGGCUCUGCGGCCAGCUGUCGGGGAAUGGUUGAUUGACGGACUGAGUCGGGCGCAGUUGUCAAUAUCCUUGGGAAAGGAUGCUUGAGAGGCUCCGCGAGCUGCUAGAUACGGGAGAGUGGACUACUGUGCGGUGGGGCCUAUUCACAAAGAGAGGCGUCCGAGGCAGGGGAGAGGAACGCCUGAACUUUUCUCCGCUGAGUGUCUGGUCUACAGGUUCAGAUUAACGAAGGAGAAGGAGCCAGCAGUUAAAAAUGAUUUUGCCUAUCCUGGUUCUCUCCUCCUUGUCAAGCUGAGUUCUGUUUCUAGAAUCACAACGUUUUGGAGGUUCAAAUGAAUUAGUGGCCUACAAUCACGAAAUCAUAGGACCCUAGAAUUGGCAGUGACCUUGAACAGUAACAUAAUCACACGUCCCGAUGAACACAGAAUACAGUGUCCUCUUCCGCAUCUCCUGCAAGGCACCAUCAACAUCUACUUUCACUCCUUCUGUCUGGAAAUGUAAGCACCCACCAAGACAGUCUGGUCAACUUCUAGCAAGUUCUGCUUUAUACUGAGUUGAAAUUCCUGUAAUUCCUUGUAAUUUCUGCCUGUCCUUCCUAAUUGCACUCUCUCAGGUUGAGCUGAAGAAGACUCAUUCCUGUUCCAGUUAGAUAAAACCAACUGCUUGAAGAUAACACUAUGUUCUCCUCAACCAAGUUCCUUCUUCAGCCUAAAUAUCCCAGAGUCCUUCAGGCAUUCCUCAAAGGAUGUGAUUUUAAGUCCCCUCACCAAUUAGUCUGUAUGUGAGCCAAUAGAAUCUAAAUUCCUUCAAGGUAGGGACUAUUUUCUGGCUUCUGUGUAGACUUUCAUCAAGUGCUACCUCCUGGAGAUCUAUCCUGGCUCCCUACUUUGUGCUGUACCCCCCUUCUCAGGCUCUAGUGCCUUUGUGUACCUUCUAUUGCAGAACUAUGUAGAUGGUGUCUCCUCCUUUAGAAUGUAAGCUCCUUGAGAGCAAGGCCUGUGUUUGCCUUUUCUCCACAUUUAACUCCAACAGUCAGCACAGUGCUUGAUAUAUAGUAAGCACUUAAUACAUGUUUGCUUAUUGAUCGAUUUUUUUUUUGUAAACCUAGAUCUGAGCUCCGUAAGUAGAACAUGGUAGGUUCGUGACAAAAGCUGGUUGAAUUUUAUUGAUCAAAACUCUUCUUAAAAUGGAGCACCAGAAAUACAGGGAAGGACGGAUGUUAAUUAAGGAUCAAGAUGGGGCUCCUGGAAAAAUAAAGUAGUGGCUUUGAAGGACUGAUUAGGGAGCAGACAGCAUAAGGAUAAAGGCCAAAAAAAGUGAGUAUUUAGGAAUAGGUUAAUAAAGAGGCGGGGGUUACUUUAAAUUCUCGACUGAGAGGCCCCUUCUAGAGUGGAAAAGAGGUGGAAAGGCUGAGAAAAGAAUAGAUUAAAAAAAAUGUCAAGCCUUGCACAUAGUGGGUGUUUUAAAAUGUGGAUCUGAUAUCCAGCUUAGAUACUGAAGGUUCUCCAGAUGUCAGUGGGCCUUUCCUGCUGUGAAAAUAUAGAGUAUACCAUAUUUAUACUAUUUCAGAAUCUAAGGGUUAAAAGGGAUCUCAGAAAUCAUAAAAAAGGAAAAAAGGACACACAUCUACAAAAAUAUUGAUAACAGCUCUUUUUGUG